rnacentral:misc_RNA from 1 species
UUUUUUUUUUUAAAUCUUGAUUUGGGUUUGUUAAUGAUCCCCCAAGUAUUCAGCUUGAUGACUUCAAAAACUUUUGAUGAGCUAAGAAGUGUUAUGAGCAAAGGAUUGCCAAUUUUUAUACGGGGAAUGAUCAUAAAUCAUUUGCAAGGCAAAUAUUUGUUGAAAAUUUAGUAUGUUUCUCAACAUGUUUGGAUGGAUUGUAUGAAGGUUUUUUAAAGUAAGGGAAAAUAAGGUUGUAGAAGUCAAAACCUCCCCAACCCAUCAAUUUGGUAGAUUGAAAAAGUGGGAGUUUAACUUUCUUAAAAUACCUGCAUUCCAAACAAACCUAUUACUUUAAAAAACCUUUAUCUUACCUUCAAAAACUUUCUCCCAAACAUAUUGUUAGUUUUGUGAAGCAUACGGUUGCUGAGGAUGUGUAAGAUUAGUCCCUUCAAAAAUGGUGUUAGACUUGUGAACAUGCUCUGUUAGGUGAUUUGAGCUUGACCUAAACUCUAGAUGUUGGAGUUUGCAGUGAUCUCAAGCUUGAUUUCACGACAUCCUAGAAUAAUAAAGCAUAAUCUGAUUGCAGCUGGCCGAGCUGGUUGGUUCUAGUAAUGCCAGGCAGUAAGUUAAUACAGUUGCAUACAUUUAACUGUGGCACAAAACCAGCUCUUGACUGAAGGAGUUUGAGAAGUGCAAGAUAGAUGGUGCCACAAAUUGCAAGUAUAACAUUUUUCCAUUAGCCCUGAAGGGUUGAAAUAAAAAAUUAAUCAGAUCAGGGUGUCUUGUAUUACAACAUUGGCACGCUGCUGCCCUAUUUCAGUGUUGUCCUUUCUCUGCAUAUGUUUCCUUUAUAUUCUUAUUUAUUUCUAGAUUUCAUUGUCAGUGUGAUAUUAGCAACAAAUGGUGCUUGGUUGUAAAUCAUUAGUGGCUUUGUUUUCUUGUUCCACUUUGUUUCUUUCUUUUCUUAUCCUUUUUUCUAUACCUUGGUUAUCUCGUUUAGUUAAUUUGUUCCACCUUCAUUUCUAACUUCUUCCUUCUUCUUCUAGUGUACCUGCAUUGAGAAGUUUUAAAGAGAAUCACUUGAAUGAAAAGUGUGCUUUGAUCAUUGUUUUACAUAGUUUCAUCUAAUAAAGAAUUAUUCUUUCAGUAAUCCAGUUCAGCUGGGG